rnacentral:rRNA from 1 species
UACGGAGGGAGCUAGCGUUGUUCGGAAUUACUGGGCGUAAAGGGCGCGUAGGCGGCCAACUAAGUCAGACGUGAAAUCCCCAGGCUCAACCUGGGAACUGCGUCUGAUACUGGAUGGCUCGAGUUCGGGAGAGGGAAGUGGAAUUCCAGGUGUAGCGGUGAAAUGCGUAGAUAUCUGGAGGAACACCGGUGGCGAAGGCGGCUUCCUGGACCGACACUGACGCUGAGGCGCGAAAGCCAGGGGAGCAAACGGG